AUCCAUCUAGGAAUACUUUUGUUUCAUAUUUAAUACGUACCUAAAAUAAUGUAAUAUUUCGGCGAUAUAUUCAUAUGCUGAUCCCAACGAAGUAAAACCGGCCCCUUACAAAACGCAUAGCAGACGACAUAUUACUCGCCAUUUUGACCGUCAUUUCUGCCAUUGUUCCACACGCUUUAUUUAUAAAUUAUGAGAUGAAAUUCCAAUCCAAAUUGCAAGUGUCACUAUUUGAACGUUUCCGUUUAUUUGAAUGAUGUUCAAAUAAAAUGAAUAUAUAUUUCAGGUUCUAUAUGAAUCGCCUGAAAGUGCGAAGCGGGCUACGUGCAACAAAUCUCUGAACAUCUAAAUUUGGGAUCCGAGGGCAUGAUCAGCAAGCAUCGACAAUGCAUCGAAAUCAGCAGAGAGUAGUGGUGCAUUGCAGAUAAUCAGUACCAUCCAUGGAAAUUAUUGCACAGGGCACACGUCUACACAAAGGAGGAAAAGACACAAGGUUUUGCAGAUCAAAUAAGAAGGAUGUUGGGGAGUCAUAUUUGACAUGAAGUUUCCUGAAGCCUGCGAUGGUCAUGUCGCUGUUACGAACAUCGUCCUUUGGGGAUAUUUACCCACAAGAAACAUCUGCGAAGUACAUGCGCUUGAAACUUAAGUUAUCUUAAGUAUGGAAGUAUGCUUCAAUUUGCUACACAACAGUUUGUAAUGUUUCAUGAAGAACUCUGACUCAUAAGUGACUUGAAUAUCCAUGAUCAUCCCAAACAAAUAUAAUAAAGAAUUCAUGGUUGCAGUUCAGAAUUUCGUCCGUGUGAUUUUAUGCCAGAGAAUAUGCAUGGGUGUAUGGUUUAAAUUCUUACACCUUGAAAAACAUCGGGUAAAUUGUAUUCGACACACACGAUGAGUUGUCGUUUCAGUAAUGUGGAAGUACGUGUCCGAGAACGUGUAGUGUUCUGAAUCUCGGUCCAGAACACUUUACAGGCGUUCUAAAAGCGUUACAUCGUCAGAACACGUUGAAGCGUUCUAAAUAUG